rnacentral:lncRNA from 1 species
UAAGUCAUUUUUGACACCGCAGAACAAUAAAAGUUCUUCACAAGCAAAACUCCCUAAUUUUUCCAAAAGUUUUUCAAUCGGAAAGAAUGAUUCCACCAUUGCUCCUGAAACUGAAGAAACAAAGUCAUGGAAUAUUAUUUUAUGGUACUUUUUUUUUUUCCAUUUAUACUAUUCUUGUUGGGUACGUCCGCCAAGUAGCCGCCUUGUAAAAUUUCAUUCAGCCCCCUAAUGCUAUGUUAUUUACAAUGUAUUCAGGUAUUAUAAAACUUUCUGUAUUACAAAAUUUCGUUUAUUCCCUUGUACUCUAUUUAUUUCAUUGAAACCCUAAGAGUGUCAAUUCGCCCCUAUAAUUUUAAAUUCCCAAAAUAUCAUAUGUUUAAUUAAAAAAUAUCAUUAUUAUUAAAUGAAUUAUAAUUAUAAUUAUAGUAAUUAUUUUAUUAUAACUAUAAAUAUAAUUAUAAUUUUUAAAUAGAUUAUAAUUAUUAACAAGAAUAAAAAGUAUUAUAAUUAAUUAAUCUAUAACAAUAAUUAAUAAUAAUUAUUUUGUUAAAUUGUUAAUAAUAAUAAUUAACGAUAAUUAUUAUAAAUAAUUAAUUUUUGAAUAAUAAUAAUAAUAUUUAAAAUACAAGAUAAUAAUUAUGAUAAAAAUUAAUUAAGAAUUUUAUAUUAAUUUGUUACAAUUUAACUCAUUCUAAUUUUGAUUCUAAGACAAAGUAAACAUAUAAAUGGUACUACAGCUCAUUCUAAUUACGAUUCAUGCAGUUUAAGUAAAUAAAUUAUUUUAAUUUCAAUUCCUAAUUUUGAUUAUAGCUAUUUCGAUUCUAACUCAUUAUGUUUCCAACUAAUUUUGAUUCUUGUUUACUGAAUGUACUAUAAAUUUCAUAAUACUUAUGAAUAAAUUGUAAAUAAUAUAGAGUGGUUUACAUUUUAUAGGUAUCUUUAUGAACUGCAACUUAGGUAUCUUUCUUGUUGCUCUUGAAUAAAUUCAAACCAAAAUUUAAAUACAAACAUGUGGCUUGUGUUGUUUUAAUUAAAGUGUAGACAUUUAUAAUUCUCAAAGUUAAAGUUUGAAUAGACCUAAUAAAGAGUAAUUAGUAAUUCAAAUAUUUUUCUCAUUAUUUAGCGAGGGUUUGAACCCCACUAAGCAUGAGGUGGAUUUGCCCAUGCAUUAUUGACGAAUUCCAUAAGUUGGCACAAGAGUGUUAUGUUCAUCCACGGUAUCUUUCUUCUUCUUCUUCUUCUUUUUUUACUUUUUU